UUUUUCCAUUUGUCAGCGACACCAUGAGCCGCCAUUAAUACGAGCCAAGUAGCAAAUGUCCACGGUGGUUUGUAGUUGUGUUCGAUGGAAGGCUUUAUCAAAGCGUUUCGCUUUUCUACUUUGGCUAUGGAAGAACUGCUGAAGUGAACAAAGUUUCAAGUAUGUAUGCAAUAUCUCUACUGAUUAUGCCGUGAUAUUGAAAGUCUUUAUGGUAUCUAAAGUUGUUGCUUUGAAAAUAAUUCUCAGCUAUCAGUUUGUUUACAAGUUAUUUUUGGCUUGAUUACUCCAGCGACGAUCGCCAAAUUUAAAUUUAAUUUGAUGAUUUUAUAAUAGUGGCAGACAGCACUUUGCGGCCAAUACUGUAAGUGCUACAAAUAGUGUUUUGUAAACCAUCUAUGAAACACACUGUGCAUGCUCUUACAAUUCUAUGUUACAAAUCUUCAGCUAGACAUUCAGUAAAUUUCUUUCCUACAAGGUCAGAAUGAAUGCAUCACAGUGCGUGACGCCUUAAUAAAAUUUGUCCUAAAGAUAAUUCUUGAAAUGCUUCAUAACAAGUUUUAACGUUGCAGGGUGUCUUAACAGAAUAAUGAUUCCGCGGCGGAGAGUUGGUUCUUUGCUUUGUCGAUACACGAUUUGCUUACAUUUUGAAAACAGCCUGCCGCAUUAAGAUGCAUUGUGGUGAUCUGAAAUCUUGGCUAUCUAGGUGAAAGUCCAAAAGGUACGUCUGAUUCUUUAAAUAUCUCAAAGGGUAGAACAUUACAUUGUCAAAGAAAAUAAUUCCAAGAUUAAUUGUACUAUCACAACUGAUUGUCUGCUUAUUCGUGUGGAUCAAAUCAGAUUGACAGCGGGACACAAAGCCCAAUUUGAAUUGCCUUACACUAGAGGUGUUUUCGGAGGCGGCGGCAGUUUUGAGUACUGAGUUUCGUAGCCUGCGAACACAGACGGAUUUCCAGCUUUUUCCUGUCAUUGGAUAACAAAUCUUGAAGAUUCGGUUGAAGUGUUGUAACGUUUAGCCCAUUACCUAAGCUUCCCACAACUGGAGCUGCGAAAGCCGAGCUCAGAACGAGAGAAAUAUCCACAACGCUCAAAAGCCUACCGCGGAGUAACAAUGAGGUCAUGCUGAAAUUAACAUCACGUAAACAGCGAUCCUACUCACCACAAUUUUGCACAAAAGACGCGUUAUAACCGGCCUCAUUUUCUCUUGAAAUGAAAUAUUACGGAUGUGAGUAAAUAUUGAAAACAGGCUGCGAAUAGAACCGCGAAUUACAUUGUCCCGAAUUAUCACAAAGGCUACUCAUGAAAAGUUUACACCAAUAAUUUUUAGAACAAGGUGAAUGAAUUGCAUCAGAUUUCCGUUGAUAAAGUUCCUCGGCUUUUUUGCUUGUUGACUGGUCGAUUCUAACAUUUGCUGCCAAAUGGUCAAGUUAGUUGAAAAUACAAUCUCAAAGUUAAAUGUUUACAUUUUUUGUACCAAACAGGCAACUCUCUCAAAUCGCUGAUUUCGAAUCAUUUUUUCCGGCUUGAUGCUCAGACGUAAAAAUAUAAAAAUACCCAUUUUCCUCAUAGUCCACUUUGACAUUGAACAAUGAUUCUGCUCGCUGCUUCAAGUGAACUUAGAUUCUUACUGAUAUUUUUAAGCUUCAGUUUUGUGUCAAUCAUCAUGUACACUUCAGAGCAUACUCAUUCAGUGCUCCAAGAGUCAGAUCAGACUCAGUGAACAUGAGAUCAACAGAUUCAGCUGGAGUGUUUGUAUUUUUGCAGAUUAUGGUUCACGUGAUCUUGCUUCGAUUGUUUUGAUUUCCUGAAUUUGACAAACCAAAAGAUCUCCUAAUUUGCACUCUACUCAGUUUAGAGUGUGGAGAAUUGAGAAUUGGUCAGUCAUGUUUGAAGUAAAAUAUCUUUUUAACUAUUAUGAAAUCAUGGAAAAAAGGUCCCCGUAGAAAACGUUUCUCAGUCUUCGUAAUCUUCAAAAACUUAAACGAAACAGCUAAAGAAACGAAAUCCAAGAUUGAUGAAGUAUCACACAGCAAGAGCUACCGUUUCCAUGGCGUGACUUGCAAGUCGAGCUAAGGCCCGGGUGGAAACCGGAGAAAUGCCUGUGACAUUUAAAACUCGAGUGCGAAGAAUGCGAGGAAGAGAACCACAAGUCUGAGCUACCUACAACAGCACUGUGCCGAAAUCGAUGCUGCAAUCAUGUUGUGUCGCGCUCCCAUAAACAGCAAACCAAGUCAACAAUAUUUCAAACCGGCAAACUGAGAUAUUACUGAUAUGCGUCAUGGAUAAUAAGUCAUGUUGCACGUCUUCAAGACAAAAAAACUUGCCAGCCAAAUGCUCAAAAUUAUAUAGUAGCGACGGUGAAAAAACGAGUAAG
rnacentral:lncRNA from 1 species